GAUGAAGAACGUAGCGAAAUGCGAUAAGUAAUGCGAAUUGCAGAAUUCAGUGAAUCAUCGAAUCUUUGAACGCACAUUGCGCCCGCUAGUAUUCUGGCGGGCAUGCCUGUCUGAGCGUCAUUUCAACCCUCGCCCCCGGCUUUUGCUGGGAGCGGUGUUGGGGAUCGGCCGCCCGUCACUGGGAGGCCGGCCCCGAAAUAGAGUGGCGACCACGCCGUGUGCUCCUCUGCGUAGUAGUAAAUCACCUCGCAGGCGGACAGCGGUGCGGCCUGCCGUAAAACCCCCAACUCUUUCUGGUUGACCUCGGAUCAGGUAGGAAUACCCGCUGAACUUAAGCAUAUCAAUAAGCGGAGGA
rnacentral:misc_RNA from 1 species